GAUGAACGCUGGCGGCGUGCCUAAUACAUGCAAGUCGAGCGAACGGACGAGAAGCUUGCUUCUCUGAUGUUAGCGGCGGACGGGUGAGUAACACGUGGAUAACCUACCUAUAAGACUGGGAUAACUUCGGAAAACCGGAGCUAAUACCGGAUAAUAUUUUGAACCGCAUGGUUCAAAAGUGAAAGACGGUCUUGCUGUCACUUAUAGAUGGAUCCGCGCUGCAUUAGCUAGUUGGUAAGGUAACGGCUUACCAAGGCAACGAUGCAUAGCCGACCUGAGAGGGUGAUCGGCCACACUGGAACUGAGACACGGUCCGGACUCCUACGGGAGGCAGCAGUAGGGAAUCUUCCGCAAUGGGCGAAAGCCUGACGGAGCAACGCCGCGUGGGUGAUGAAGGUCUUCGGAUCGUAAAACUCUGUUAUUAGGGAAGAACAUAUGUGUAAGUAACUGUGCACAUCUUGACGGUACCUAAUCAGAAAGCCACGGCUAACUACGUG
rnacentral:rRNA from 1 species